AGGCUUAGAAGGGAUCUGUAGUU
rnacentral:piRNA from 1 species